GCCAUGUGAAGGUCCAAUUGAUUGAGCAAAUUGAUAUUGCAAUAAAUGUAAAUGUCGUUACAUUGCAGAAACAUUUCAAACCAUUCGGCAUAUAAAUUGGACAGGCAUAAAAAGACUCAAACGAAUAUCAAAACCUGUCCAUGAGGUGGUCCAAAUUUUCAAAAAGUCCCUGUGGUUUCAGAUCCUUAUCAGUGAAUUACCAAUGAAACCAUGAACUCCUGGUACCUGAUACAACUUCAGGGAUUUAUUGCAAAAGAC
rnacentral:misc_RNA from 1 species